CUGGCAGCUGUGGUGCCAUGUCAUCGUGACCCUUUCUGGCUUGUGAAAGUGUGAGUGCAUGCUGACCUUGACACAAUGUGGUUACCAGUGUCUGACCCUUGCAGGGAUAGGGGAGGUGGACGCUUGCUUGAAGGAGCGAUUGUUGAUAGCCUGUUUUCCUGCUUGCUUUUGUUGUUGCGUCUCUAGCAGUUCUCUGGCUGUUGGAAGAUACUGCUGAACAUCCUUAGUGCUGGUAGCUCAAGAGAAUCCUUAUGCUGAGCUUGUUAUAUAUGCUUUGCUGGCUUUAUCGAAGAAUCAUAGAGUCGUAGAAUGGUUUGGGUUGGAAGGGAUCUUAAAGCUCAUCGAGUUCUAACCCCCUACAAAUGUACAGUUCCUACUAAAUUAAUGGUCAUCAGUUUUCGUGAGCCCAUCAAUAUCUGUCCAAGUGAUAUAUUGGAAUCAUUCCUGGUCUUCUGCUUUUUUUCUGAAGCUAUUACUGGGAAAGGGGACAAUGUAACAUCCUGGCAGCUAGCUGCUCCAGCUGUGUACGUACUCAGUACGGUAUGCUGGUUUACUCUGGUAUCCAUGGCUCUUGUGGGGCUUGCUGCAGCCCUUGGUGCAGGUUUGAGUUGUCAGAGGACAGACAAGGAGAUUACUAAGGGACCAGAGCAUCUUUAUAUGAGAAGCUGAGAGAGGAGGGACUGUUCAGCCUGGAGAAGAGAAGGCUCAAAGGGGCCUAUCCAGGUGUAUAAAUACCUGAUGGGGAGGAAUGAAGAGGGAACUGACCCUGCUUAAGCAGGGUAGUGGACUCUCUGAUCUUCAGAGAUCCUUUCCAACCUCCACAACUCUGGGAUUCCGGCAAGGUUGGUUUGGGUCUCUGCCUUUUCCCCAUGGAAAGUGUUGCAUUUACCUUGGGGUGUUUUUUAGCUUGCUGGCAAGGGCGCUUGCCUAGAGACCAAGUUUAUUCAUGUCACUGUUUCACAGGCUUCGCAGGUUGUAAAAUCUCUGCUCAUACAUCAUGGGGAUGUAACUCACCCCCUCAGCUCUUCAGUGAUAAAAAUACUCAUCCAGGCUGGGAAGCCAGGAGCCAUCAUCACCUCUCUUCCUCCACUGCAGUGAAUAUCACAACAAACUCUUCUGGAGAAGAGCCUGAAGUACCUAUAGCUGUUCUGGCUGCCUUGGGCUACCAAAAGCUCCCCAAAGAGGCUGUUUUGCAGGAGGGAAUGUGAGGAGCGCUUCUGUAGAGGUGCUGUCCAGGCGCUGUGCUUUAGAUUGGAGCUCUGUCAGGAGGGAAGGGAGAGUUAGGAUUUUUAUGUGCUGCAUAUCUGGCAUGGUCAUGAGCAGACCUGGGUGUACAGAAAUGAGACUGACAUGUACCUCAAAUCAAAACCUAAGUCACUUUACAGCUGCGUGAGGCACUGGUACUUCAGGUACUGCUGCUGUAAAGACUGGUUGAUAAAGUGGGUAUUGAAGCUGACACAAUGGAGAAUUGUCAGGACUCAGACAGUUCCCCUGAGGCCUCUGCCACUGUACAAAGCUGUCUUUUGGCCGUUGCACAUUAAGGUCGUUCUUCACAUACUGUUGUUGCCAUGGGACAUGGUGUGAUUUAAUCUAACAAUUUGUGGCCUGUCUGGCCCUUGGAGAAGAAAAAAACCUCAUGUAGCUCACUCUUGAGAUGAUACAGGGAAACAGCUUAAACUUAGUGCUGGUUUCAUCCCUCAUGCUGCAGAAGAGGUCAUGAACCACUGAGCCUUGUUUCCAAGGCUGCUGUUACGGCCUCCUGAGGCUGAGCAGCACUGGGUAUGUUCUGCAGCCAUAUCCUGCAGCCAUGCAUCUCCCCAGCAGCAGCACCUGGCCCUCUGCAUCCUCAGAAUGUGAGAGCUGUAAGCCUGGGCCAUAUUGUUCUGUCCCUCUUGUUGGGGUCAUGCUUGGCAAGGGUAGGUAACAUCUAGGCUGGAAAGAGGAAGUUAUUACUGUUAAGGCAGCAAUGACUUUGGUAGAAAUAGAUGAUGGAGGAUGUAAUCUUUUCAAUAUGACAGUAAAUAGGGGCACAUCUAUAAAGGCUUGUUGGAGGAAAGUGGAGUCAGAACAGCGCUGAACAAGAACAGGUAUAUUCCGCUCCAGACUGUGUAGGAUUAGUUAGCCAUGGUGAGGGUCUGAGUUGCAGCUUGUGGUUUAUACAUGAAGACAGUGCUGUUGGCCAUAUGACUUCCAUGAAUUACAGCCCUGUAGAAGAGGGAGACUGGAGGUAAUAAUGGCAGUUGGUUGUUCUUUACCCCUUCUCCCAGCACAGAUGGAGUCCAACGUGUGCAAGCUUGCACCUCCUCAGUCACCUUAGCUGCCUCCACACUGUUGGGUGUAAAAGGUCUUGAAGCCUAUGUUUUUUCCUCCAGGUGGAGGAGCAGUGAGCCAGAGAGGCUAGGUGACUUGCUGAGGUGGCACACACAGAUGCAUGACUAUGGGUUUAGGUGUUUUGAUAGCUGGGGUUUGGGCUUGCCCAGGCUACCAAUAGCAAAGUCUCCAAAGAAACAACACCUCUUGCAUCUUGCAGGGGCUAAUAAUUGACUUGGCCAUCAGAAAUAAACAACCUGACCUUUACCUA